rnacentral:rRNA from 1 species
GAUGAACGCUGGCGGCGUGCCUAAUACAUGCAAGUCGAGCGAACGGACGCGAAGCUUGCUUUUCUGAUGUUAGCGGCGGGCGGGUGAGUAACACGUGGAUAACCUACCUAUAAGACUGGGAUAACUUCGGGAAACCGGAGCUAAUACCGGAUAAUAUUUUGAACCGCAUUGUUCAAAAGUGAAAGACGGUCUUGCUGUCACUUAUAGCUGGAUCCGCGCUGCAUUAGGUAGUUGGUAAGGUAACGGCUUACCAAGGCAACGAUGCAUAGCCGACCUGAGAGGGGGAUCGGCCACAUUGGAAGUGAGACACGGUCAAGACUCCUACGGGAGGCAGCAGUAGGGAACGUUCCGCAAUGGGCGAAAGCCUGACGGAGCAACGCCGCGUGAGUGAUGAAGGUCUUCGGAUCGUAAAACUGUGUUAUGAGGGAAGAACAGAUGUGUAAGUAACUGUGCACAUCUUGACGGUACCUAAUCAGAAAGCCACGGCUAACUACGUG